rnacentral:rRNA from 1 species
UAGCGGCGGACGGGUGAGUAACGUGUGGGCAACCUGCCUCAUACAGAGGGAUAAUCAUGUGAAAACGUGACUAAUACCGCAUGUCGUUUCGGGAGGGCAUCCUNCUGAAAGAAAAGGAGCAAUCCGGUAUGAGAUGGGCCCGCAUCUGAUUAGCUAGUUGGUGAGAUAACAGCCCACCAAGGCGACGAUCAGUAGCCGACCUGAGAGGGUGAUCGGCCACAUUGGGACUGAGACACGGCCCAAACUCCUACGGGAGGCAGCAGUGGGGAAUAUUGCACAAUGGGGGAAACCCUGAUGCAGCAACGCCGCGUGAAGGAAGACGGUUUUCGGAUUGUAAACUUCUAUCAAUAGGGACGAAGAAAGUGACUGUACCUAAAUAAGAAGCCCCGGCUAACUACGUGCCAGCAGCCGCGGUAAUACGUAGGGGGCAAGCGUUAUCCGGAAUUACUGGGUGUAAAGGGUGAGUAGGCGGCAUGGCAAGUAAGAUGUGAAAGCCCGAGGCUUAACCUCGGGAUUGCAUUUUAAACUGCUAAGCUAGAGUACAGGAGAGGAAAGCGGAAUUCCUAGUGUAGCGGUGAAAUGCGUAGAUAUUAGGAAGAACACCAGUGGCGAAGGCGGCUUUCUGGACUGGAAACUGACGCUGAGGCACGAAAGCGUGGGGAGCGAACAGGAUUAGAUACCCUGGUAGUCCACGCCGUAAACGAUGAGUGCUAGGUGUCGGAGGGGAACCU